rnacentral:rRNA from 1 species
GGGUCAGUAGGUUGGUCGUGCCACCGGUACGUACUGGUCUCACUGAUUCCUCCUUCCUGAAGAACCGUAAUGCCAUUAAUUUGGUGUUGCGGGGAAACAGGACUGUUACUUUGAAAAAAUUAGAGUGUUUAAAGCAAGCUAACGCUUGAAUACAUUAGCAUGGAAUAAUGAAAUAGGACGAUCGGUCCUAUUUUGUUGGUUUCCAGGAUUGACGUA